rnacentral:hammerhead_ribozyme from 1 species
AUCCAGAUGACGAGUCUCAAAUAAGACGAAACUUGUGUCUUGGAU